rnacentral:rRNA from 1 species
UACGUAGGUGGCAAGCGUUGUCCGGAUUUACUGGGCGUAAAGAGCGCGCAGGCGGUCGAUUUAGUCGCGUGUGAAAGCCCCCGGCUCAACUGGGGAGGGUCACGCGAUACUGAUCGACUCGAAGGCAGGAGAGGGUAGUGGAAUUCCCGAUGUAGUGGUGAAAUGCGUAGAUAUCGGGAGGAACACCAGUGGCGAAGGCGACUACCUGGCCUGUUCUUGACGCUGAGGCGCGAAAGCUAGGGGAGCAAACGGG